rnacentral:antisense_RNA from 1 species
GAUUUUGUAACCAAAAUUUAAAGUAAAGAAAACUGAAGUUUUGCUAGCAAACUCUUUAAAAAUAGUAAGAGACUGUUGGGCUGGGCAUGGUGGCUCACGCCUGUAAUCCCAGCACUUUGGGAGGCUGAGGCGGGUGGAUCGCCUGAGGUCUGGAGUUUGAAACCAACCUGACCAACAUGGAGAAACCCUGUCUCUACUAAAAAUAAAAAAUCAGCUGGAUGUGGUGGCGCAUGCCUGUAAUUCCAGCUACUCAGGAGGCUGAGGCAGGAGAAUCACUUGAACCCAGGAGCAGGAGGUUGCGGUGAGCCGAGAUCACACCAUUGCACUUCAGCCUGGGAAACAAGAGCAAAACUCCAUCUCAAAAAAAUAGAAAAGAAAAAAAGAUACUGUUUUGAAUUCAAAAUAAAUUACUAUUCAAGAGAU